GGGACAGGAGGAGAACCUCGCCCUAACUUGAGCAAAGUCGAAGGCCCAGUUCCAUUUAGAUCGGAUGGGGGGAGAGGCCCUGCAAUGCCCAUAUGCGCCCCCACAGCCCUGUUAAGGACAGGAGGAAAACCUCGCCCUAACUUGAGCAAAGUUGAAGGCCCGGUUCUAUUUAGACCGGAUGGGGGGAGAGGCCCUGCAAUGCCCAUAUGCGCCCCCACAGCCCUGUUA
rnacentral:lncRNA from 1 species